rnacentral:lncRNA from 1 species
AAACAAAGACAACUUAAAUGAAAACCCUAUUAUUUUAGACUGUGGAAAAUUAGAAGAACAAAUAAAUACUGACAAUAAUAAUAAUAAUAAUAAUAAUAAUAAUAAUAGUAAUAAUAAUAAUAAUAAUAGUAGUAAUAAUAAUAAUAAUAAUAGUAAUAAUAAUAAUAAUAAUAGUAAUAAUAAUAAUAAUGACACUCAUUUAUUUGUUAAACUUGGUGCAAGUAACAGUGAAAGUUUAUCAGAGAACAAAAAAGAAGAACAUAAUUUAAAAAAUAUGAAAAAAGAAUGUGUAUUGACAGAGGACAUGCAUAAUGGGUUGUCAAUGAAAGAAAAUAUAGAUAGUUUUCAAGGUGAUGAUGUAUAUAUGGGUAGUCCGGAAAAAAGUAAUAUACGCACAGAUGGACUACAAGACGAAACACAUAUAAACACUACGAAGAACGUUGAUAAAAAGAGUAUCGAAGUUUUAAAAAAAAAAGAAGAAGAAGAAGAAGAAGAAGAAGAAGAAGAAAUAAACAAAGCACUUGCAAUCUGUAGUUAUGAUGAAGGUGGUGAUGGUGGUGAUGGUGGUGAUGAUAAUGAUACAAAUCUAGAACUAAACGUUAGAAGUACUAGAAAACGUAGAGUAACAUAUACUGCAUUUUUUUCAAGUAGCACGAGUUCAGAAAGUUUGUAUUUUAAGUCCAAAUAUUAUCACUUAGAAAAACAAAAAAAUAAAAAAAAAGUUAAAAAAAAAGAAUUCAAAAAGCCAAAGGGAAAGACAGGAACAGACAUAACAAUAAAAAAGAAAGAUGACAAAAGUGUUGCUGAAAAAAAGAAAGAUGACAAAAGUGUUGCUGAAAAAAAGAAAGAUGACAAAAGUGACGACCGUGGUAAGAACAACAAGAAUGAAAAUAUCGAUAGUAAAAAGGUGGUGGAACAAGUUGAGCAAAUUGAGAUAGGCGCUGAAAAAAUAGGAAUGUCUUCGCCAGGAAUAGGUUUGCUAGAAGUAGGGCAAGUCGAGGAAGAACUAGAACCUUUCAUGACAGAAAAUGAAAAGAAAAAGACCCAAAAAAAACGUAAAAAUACAAAUGUAUUGCAUGUAGAAAAAAAUAAUAAUAAAGAUAAACUUAGCUUAAAUAAAAGUACAAGCAAAAAUAAAGAUAAAGAAAGUUUAAAUAAAAGUAAAAAAUACGAUAGUAAUGAUGAAAUAAAUGUAAUAGAGGAUGAUAUGAGUAUGCUUAAUAAUAAAAACAAAACAGGAGAAAAUGUUGAUAAGAUUAUUGGUACUGGUAAAACUAAAAACAUAAAAAAUAUAAAUAACAAAGAGAAAUAUAAUAAGGGUAUUGUCAGUAAAAAAAAAAGCAGGG